ensembl:lncRNA
GGAACACAGAAGAUUGGGAUACUUCAGUGGAUACCACUGCUUCAACAAGAAACAAGUCAUGUCAAAAGGAAAAAGACCAUGUGAGGACACAGCAAGGAGGCAGCCAUCUAUAAAGCAGGAAGAGAACUCUCAUCAGAGACCAACCCUAAUGGUACCUUGAUCUUGGACUUCCAGCUUUCAGACUGUAAGAAAAUACAUUUCUGUUGUUUAAGCCACUCAGUCUGUGGUAUUUUGGUAUGGCAGCCAAAAUGGACAAUACAGAGCCCUUCUUGUUUAGACAGCCAAGACCAGUUUGUGAUAAUCAUGGCCAAAGGAGAAGCAGCACACCUGACCAGUUCUUGAUUAAAUAUCAGUGGUGUGAUGGACUGACUUGCAGAAGCAGAGCACAGUGAUUCAUGGAUACAAUGAAUUAUGGAGGCAGUGAAAGUAUCUGCAAAAGUGUCACUGGCAUAGAGAGGCUGUCCAGCAGUGUGGGUGAUCUUCGCUUUCCAAACUGAAAUAACGUCCCACCCAUCCUUCUGGCCUCUCAGUUCUGAAAUCUUAC